GACGAACGCUGGCGGCGUGCUUAACACAUGCAAGUCGAACGGCAAGGCCCUGCUUUUGUGGUGUGCUCGAGUGGCGAACGGGUGAGUAACACGUGAGUAACCUGCCCUUGACUUUGGUAUAACUUCAGGAAACUGGGGCUAAUACCGGAUAGGAGCUCCUGCUGCAUGGUGGGGGUUGGAAAGUUUCGGCGGGUGGGGAUGGACUCGCGGCUUAUCAGCUUGUUGGUGGGGUAGUGGCUUACCAAGGCUUUGACGGGUAGCCGGCCUGAGAGGGUGACCGGGCACAUUGGGACUGAGAUACGGCGCAGAGUCCUACGGGAGGCAGCAGUGGGGAAUAUUGCACAAUGGGCGGAAGCCGGAUGCAGAAACGCCGCGGGCGGGAUGACGGCCUGUGGGUUGUAAACCGCUGUCGCCUGUGACGAAGCGGGAGUGACGGUAAUGGGUAAAGAAGCACCGGCUAACUACGUG
rnacentral:rRNA from 1 species